UGUGCUUCAUCAAACCUGCAAAUUAAUCAAUAAUCAAUGUGAUGCAUUCAUCUGGCCUCUGUAGCUGUUGCACAUCGAUGCCAGCGGCUGCAUGAAGGUCAUCCAGAAGCAAAAAAGCCGGCCGACGGAGAAAAGACAGACCGAGCAGGUUUCUUCGACAGCCCUUCCUUGCCGUCUGGCUGGAAAAUCCCGGACCGUGUCCGAACUCCUCCGGGAGAAGCGGCUCAGGGCGGCCCAAGCCCAGAAGGCCCAGCAGAAGCAGCAAGGCCUGGCCCUCCUGGCCCCAAAGAUCCUCCUCCGGCCCCAGAUCCCAGCGCCGAAUCUCCAGAUCUCAAUGACGGGGCGUCCCAAUCCUGGUGUCCAGGUCCCAGUGGCGGGGUGUCCCAGUCCAGCGCCGAAUCUCCAAAUCCUGGCACCAAAUCUCCAGACCCCGAGGGUGGAUUGUUCCAGUCCGAAUCUCCAAAUCCCGACUCCGAAUCUCCAGACCCGAGGGUGGAUUGUUCCAGUCCGAAUCUCCAAAUCCCGACUCCGAAUCUCCAGACCCCGAGGGUGGAUUGUUCCAGUCCGAAUCUCCAAAUCCCGACUCCGAAUCUCCAGACCCCGAGGGUGGAUUGUUCCAGUCCGAAUCUCCAAAUCCCGACUCCGAAUCUCCAGACCCCGAGGGUGGAUUGUUCCAGUCCGAAUCUCCAAAUCCCGACUCCGAAUCUCCAGACCCCGAGGGUGGAUUGUUCCAGUCCGAAUAUCCAAAUCCCAACGCUGAAUCUCCAGACCCCGAGGGUGGAGUGUUCCAGUCCGAAUCUCCAAAUCCCGACUCCGAAUCUCCAGACCCCGAGGGUGGAUUGUUCCAGUCCGAAUAUCCAAAUCCCAACGCUGAAUCUCCAGAUCCCGAGAGUGGAGUGUUCCAGUCCGAAUCUCCAGAUCCCAACGCCAAAUCUCCAGACCCCGAGGGUGGAGUGUUCCAGUCCGAAUCUCCAAAUCCCAACGCCAAAUCUCCAGACCCCGAGAGUGGAGUGUUCCAGUCCGAAUCUCCAAAUCCCAACGCCAAAUCUCCAGAUCCCGAGGGUGGAGUGUUCCAGUCCGAAUCUCCCAAUCCCGACGCCGAAUCUCCAGACCCGAGAGUGGAGUGUUCCAGUCCGAAUCUCCCAAAUGCCAACGGCGGAGCGACUCAAUCUCCAUAUCGCUCUAAACCCCACUGCCCCGGGAACGCCUUCCUCGGACCCCGCACCACCCAUGACCCUGACCCUGACCUGGAUCCUGACCCCGCAAGGCCUGCUCCCGGUGGUGCGCCUCCCCGGCCAAACCGCCGACCCCGCAACCUGUCCCCCGAAGCAGGCGCCGGUCGCGUCUACACAAGUCCCCACUUCCGGCGAUGUUGUGAGUGAACCCCACAACGCCGUUGUUCCUUCUGAAGCUGCGCCGAGUCGUCCUGUUUUGGGGGACCCCCCCGAGAAGGCCCCCCUGGAUUACCGCCUCCUUUCCACCGAAGACCCCGCCGCGGCGAAGCAGUGGUUGCAAGGGGAAGGGGGCUCCUCGGGGUUGCCCUAUUUGCCCCCGUUCCUCUGCAACCUCCGGACCCUGUCCACGCUGCUGCGCCACAAAGAGGCCUUGUUGUCCCAAGCCACCUCGCUCCGGGUGCCGGAAGGAUCGGGCGCAACGGGGCUCCGGACGCUGGUGCAGCAACGACUGUGGGGGAACCCGGCCUACGACCUGCUCAAGGCCCGAUUCUUGGCCGCUUUCACUUUCCCGGCCGCCUUGGCAGCACUGCCCCCCUUCCGGGUGAGCACCACCAUUUCCAGGGUGGGUCUGGACCCGUCUUCGGAGGAAGAAGAUGAUGACGACAACGACAUGGAGGUUGAGAGAGAGCCCCACGACACAGCAAGGGACGGCCCCGGAGAGGCAGCCAAUGGCCACGAAAGCCCGACGGAGAUGGAGGUGGAAGAGACAGCCCCGGAAGUCCAGGUAUUAAGUUUAAUAAUAAUAAUAAUAAUAAUAAGUUAAGGUAAUAAUAAUAAUAAUAAUAAUAAUAAUAAUAAUAAUAAUAAUAAUAAGUUACGAGAGUGUAGCUGCUGUAAGAAAAUUGCA
rnacentral:lncRNA from 11 species